GACGAACGCUGGCGGCGUGCUUAACACAUGCAAGUCGAACGGAAAGGCCCUGCUUUUGUGGGGUGCUCGAGUGGCGAACGGGUGAGUAACACGUGAGUAACCUGCCCUUGACUUUGGGAUAACUUCAGGAAACUGGGGCUAAUACCGGAUAGGAGCUCCUGCUGCAUGGUGGGGGUUGGAAAGUUUCGGCGGUUGGGGAUGGACUCGCGGCUUAUCAGCUUGUUGGUGGGGUAGUGGCUUACCAAGGCUUUGACGGGUAGCCGGCCUGAGAGGGUGACCGGCCACAUUGGGACUUAGAUACGGCCCAGACUCCUACGGGAGGCAGCAGUGGGGAAUAUUGCACAAUGGGCGGAAGCCUGAUGCAGCAACGCCGCGUGCGGGAUGACGGCCUUCGGGUUGUAAACCGCUUUCGCCUGUGACGAAGCGUGAGUGACGGUAAUGGGUAAAGAAGCACCGGCUAACUACGUG
rnacentral:rRNA from 1 species